ACACACACACACACACACACAUCCAUGCCCCCCCCCGCAGACGCACACAAGCACCACUCCGAUAGCUCAGUGGUAAGGCUCAGCGGAGGUUCGGGGCCCCCUCAAGAUAGGAGUUUUCCACUGACAAGGAGCGGUUACUGUCCCCCUUUGUGCGAUGAGGCUGCGGUGUGUGGGGUGUGAAGGGCCGCCAGUACCCAGAGAUUGACUAAUGGGCCUCGUUCUAACCGGGAGGGUACUUGUUGGUCAUGACGAGUCCAGUUUGUGAUCAGGCCGUGGUGAGUUACACACACACACACACACACACACACACACACACACACACACACACACACAUUACAGGAAAGAGGUAGAUAACGGGGAUUUCAACAACUCUCUCUCUCUCUCUCUCUCUCUCUCUCUCUCUCUCUCUCUCUCUCUCUCUCUCUCUCUCUCUCUCUCUCUCUCUCUCUCUCUCUCAGCAGAACACAUUCGUCCCCUUGUUCGAGAAGCGAAUUAACACUAAUAAAAGCCCACCGUGGUUUAAUAGCGAAAUUAAACAAUCAGUCAAUGAGAGAAAAUUGUUUUACAGGUUAAAGAAAGAACAAAGCACGCCCGAAAACAUUAGACUUUAUAAUGGUGCCAGGCGACGAGUAAAAAGAUUAGUAUGUCAGGCAAAGCGUAGAUAUGAAGAAAAUAUUGCAGCCAACUGUAAAAAUAAUCCGAAAUCUUUCUUCAAUUACAUAAACAACAGAAAGGCGAUCAAAAGUGGUAUUGGACCUUUAACAAACAGCGACGGUGCACUAGUGACUGACAGCCAACACAUUGCAAACCUCGUAAGCAAUUACUUUUCCUCGGUGUUUAAUACUAACAGUCUUCCUCCCACUACCACCAACACCAGUACUAUUGUAAAUCUCGAGCAUGCAUUGCCUAAUUUUGAAAUAACAACCGAUGAAGUCCUUAAAGCUCUCCAUUCACUUAAAGCGAAUAAAAGUCCCGGACCCGACAAAGUAUAUCCUAUACUGCUUAAAGAAACAAAGAGCGAAAUACUCUCCUCCCUCACUACCGUAUUCAAUAUGUCCUUGCGACAAGGCAUCGUCCCUUCGGAUUGGAAAAAGGCUAACGUGACACCGAUUUUUAAGAAAGGAGACAAAAAAAUACCUGGUAACUACCGACCCAUUAGUCUAACUUCAAUUGUAGCUAAGCUACAAUUGAAUUGUGAGUUACCUCGAAAGCCACUCAUUAAUUGGGGAUUCACAACAUGGCUUCCGUAACAAAAGAUCCUGCCUGUCAAACCUACUGACCUUUUAUAACGAUCUCUUCUCAGUUUAUGACGUAACCAAAUCAUUGGACGUAGUCUAUCUUUAUUUCCAGAAAGCGUUUGAUAAAGUCCCACAUCAUAAAUUACUUUAUAAAUUAAAGCAAAUAGGUAUUGACGGUCAAGUAAACCAAUGGAUCGCAAAUUGGUUGAGCAACAGACAACAAAGAGUUGUGAUUGACGGAUUUAACUCAGAGUGGGCGCCGGUCACUAGUGGCGUCCCUCAGGGCUCGUUUCUUGGCCCAGUGCUCUUCAUUAUUUACAUCAACGAUGUGGAUGUUGGACUCAAAAAUCACAUUAGUAAAUUUGCUGACGACACAAAGAUUGGUAACUCGGAUCUCACUGACGAAGACAGGCAAAGCCUCCAAGAGGAUUUGCACAAAAUUUCAGCUUGGCCGGAUAAAUGGGAGAUGCCCUUUAACGAAGACAAGUGCCAGGUCCUUCAAGUUGGAACAAAAAAUAAGAAGUUCGAUUACGAAAUGCGCGGCGUUAAACUCACAAGCGUUUAAUGCGUUAAGGACCUGGGGGUCGAAAUCGCGUCAAACCUCAAAUUCUCACAGCAAUGCAUCGAUACAGCAAAUAAAUCGAACAGAAUGUUGGGCUUCAUUAAAAGAAACUUUUUAUUCAAGAAUAAAGAUGUAAUACUUCCGCUCUACAAUAGUUUAGUCAGACCCCACUUGGAAUAUGCGGUACAGUUUUGGUAUCCCCACCAUGCAAAGGACAUUGCUAAAUUAGAAGGUGUUCAGCGUCGGGCAACAAAAUGAUCCCUUCCCUGCGCAACAAAUCCUACGAAGAAAGACUUUCCACCGCUAACAUGUUCUCACUUGAGAAACGUCGCCUCCGAGGAAAACUGAUCGAAUGUUUUAAAAAACUUAAUGGUUUCACGAAUGUAGACAGAACAAAAUUGUUUAUGAUCGAUGACACUUUGCGAACGAGGAACAAUGGCAUAAAACUCAAAUGUAGACAAGUAAAUUCAGACUGCACCAAAUUUUCUUCACCAACGUUGUAGUGCGAGAAUGGAAUAAGCUCCCACCGCCAGUGGUCCAGUGUAACACGACUGACUCCUUUAAAAAUAAGCUCGACCGUCACUUCCUUCAACUUAAUAUUAACUAGAGUAGAAAAGCAACGUUUUGGAGCCAUCUGAUUAAUGUAGAUUCACUUAGGUUUAAGGACAGACCACCUAGUCUGGACCAUGGGGUCUGUGUGGUUUGAUUUUCCAUGUAAUUCUAUGUAAUUCUCUCUCUCUCUCUCUCUCAUACUAAUAUAAUGCUAACACAAUAUGUAUUUCUCCUCUCCUAUGCUCCUUGUCAUAAUUUGCCACAUCUUAACAUCUCAUACCUAUUAUAAGAGUAAUAAGGUAAUAAGAAAAUAAUAAUAAUAAAUUGCACAUGAUAACUCACUCACUGCUUCCCCUUCGCUAAAACCACAAUUAUUUAUCUAUGCACACACACACUGUCUCUAAAGACAGAUCCUCUCUUUAUCCACACCACACUACAUUCUCACAACAUAUACACCUUUUCCCAAAAUUAAAAUUUCAAAAUGGCGCACAUACACCAAGCCUCGGAGUCCCCGCCUGGGGGGGGGACCACAAAUUCCCCCAGGGAGGACUCCCCUUCUGGCUGCCGACCCGAGAGGUGUCUUGAUAACUCCUCGAACCUCUUUCUUCUCAAUUUCUGCAACAUUCGCGGUCUUCGCUCUAAUUUUCAUUCUGUGGAACAUCAUCUCUCCUCCUCUAAACCUCACCUUCUCUUCCUUACCGAAACACAGGUUUCUGAGGCUACUGACAGCAAUCUCUACUCUGUUCCCUCCUACUAUCUCUAUCCUAAAUUUCAAUCCAAAGUUGGAUGUUGCGCCUACGUGCGCAACGACAUCACUUGCUCUCGUGCCCACGACCUUGACUCUUCUGAAUUUUCCACCAUCUGGUUAAGACUUCACUGUCAUUCUAUUACUAAAUACAUCUGUGCUGUUUAUCUUUCACCUAACUCUACCAACUAUGUAAAAUUCUUUGACUAUUUGAAUUCUAAAGUGGAGCACAUCUUGACCCACUCUCCUUCGCUGAAAUCUCCAUCCUAGGAGAUUUCAAUGUUCACCACCAGCUUUGGGUUUCAUCCUCUUUCACUGACCAUCCUGGUGAACAAGCCUACAACUUUGCUAUCCUCAACGACCUAGAGCAGUUGGUCCAGCACCCUACACGUAUUCCUGACCGUCUUGGAGAUCGGCCCAACAUUCUAGACCUCUUCCUUACCUCAAACCCUUCUGCUUAUUCUGUCAAACUGUUCUCUCCGUUGGGCUCCUCCGAUCACAAUCUUAUUUCUGCAUCCUGUCCUAUCGCUCCUGUACACCCUCUGGACCCACCGAAG